rnacentral:rRNA from 1 species
CUUGCCUGCCCAGUGACUGUAAGUUAAACGGCCGCGGUAUUUUGACCGUGAAAAGGUAGCGCAAUCACUUGUCUUUUAAAUGAAGACCUGUAUGAAUGGUGAAACGAGGGCUUAACUGUCUCCCUCAUCUAGUCAAUGAAAUUGAUCUACCCGUGCAGAAGCGGGUAUUACAAUACAAGACGAGAAGACCCUCUGGAGCUUAAGACAAAAGACCAACUAUGUCAAGAGUACUAAAAAUGAAACUAAACCGAAUAACACUGGUCCCAGUCUUUGGUUGGGGUGACCGCGGGAGAAAGUUAAGCUCCCAUGUGGACUGGGGCAACCCCCCAAAACUAAGAAAGACAUCUCUAAGGCACAGAACAUCUGACCAUAAAGAUCCGGCCAUGCGCCGACCAACGGACCAAGUUACCCUAGGGAUAACAGCGCAAUCCCCUUCCAGAGUCCAUAUCGACAAGGGGGUUUACGACCUCGAUGUUGGAUCAGGACAUCCUAAUGGUGCAGCCG